rnacentral:rRNA from 1 species
GAGCGCCGAGAGCGGGGUGGGGUCGGUGGUUUGCUCCUUGGGAUCGGAGGAAAGAGGAAGGGGAGCUGGGGGUGCUCGGCGACGUGGGGAGGGAGAGGGAAGGCACGCACGCGAGCCGGUUCCUGCGACGGCAGCGGGAGCCGAGGAGGAGGUGGUGGAGCGGAAAAAGAGGAGGAGCGGAAGGGUAGCGAGCGCGCGUACAGCGACGGCAGCCUUUUGUCCUGACGCCCAGCGAAGGAGGAAAAGGAGGGCAGCCUAGAUUCCGCACGCCGGCACCUGCGCUCGGAGAGGCCACCGCCGCCGUUUCCCACUGGUGUACCUAGCCAGGGACGUCCUCUCUCUUCUACCCUCUCUCCCUCUCUUCCUUCCUCUCCUCCCUCCGGGCCGCCGCCUGCCCUCUCCCAGUGGCUGGCCGCGGCCGCUCCAGUCCACGCUGGACCACCAACCACCGCCGAGCUAGGUGAGGACCUAGGAAGAAGAAGGUGAAGGGGCGACGGAUUGUGGCUCCUUCUCCCGACCGGCUCCUUCUCCCGCUCCUACGUCCCUAACUUCUCCCACAAGGACGCAAGUAGCGGACCGGUUCCUGCUCCUGCUGCUGCACCCCACCUCGUACAGUAGGGAGACCAAUAGUGGAAGGAAUGACGAUGACCCGACUCUACUCCCAAAAGAGGUGGCUAACACCACCGGACUCAGUCUCUAGCUGUCGGUGUACGAACACCGAUGGUGUGUUUUGCACGAGAGAACGACUGGAGCUCCAGGUCUGCGUUACCUAACAGAGGUUCCACAAAGAGACUGGUCGUUGUUGUUUUGAGGCGUGAAAGAGUUAACGCUACACUAACCAAGUACAGGUGGUUCCGGCAACGCAACCAGCACCAUGAGCCGAAGGAAACCCAAACGAACGACAGCUCCUUCUUCUUUCCACACUUGAUACACUUUUACCUGUUUGGGUGACAGCGUCUACCAUUACUUUUUUGACUGUGGUUGAUCGAGUGAGAUAUUUAAAACAGAUCCGAGUUCGAUUGAUGCAUAGACGUGGUACUAACGAGCGACCACUAUAUCUACAUACGGAUUGUAGUCCAAUAAUGGUGUGGUAUCAUCGACGAGCGACCCUUAUAUCUAUAUAUAAAGUAAAACGUCCAAACUUUGUUCGACCAAGGAAAUAUACUUUAACAAAUAAGUACUAAACAAUUACAUCUUUAGUAAAGUAAUUAAUCAAAACAUACCAGGCACACUAAGUACGACGUUACUAAAAGAAGUCAGCCAAUUAGCACAUCAUGAUACCGUCACUAUAUGACUAUAGCACAUCAUUAGCUACGAGACAAGUACCGAAAAAAGAAUAAAAUAGGAAGAAACGAAAAAAGGAAAGGACGUUCUUCUACAGCUCAGUACAUUAUACAAGUUUCUUCUCUCUUAGACGUAAAAUACUUAGGAAAGAAGAAAGAAGUAACAAUGAAGUUCAAUCACUUAAGUAAAUUCAACAUAACUCGUCGAAGUACACGUACCAAAGAAGUAGAUGUGUAGAAUAAGUCAGUGCUCCGGUCAUUCUAGAAAACGGAAAAUCUUUUUCCCUCUACGGUAAAUCUGGAAUGAGAAGGUUGAACUAGAAAUUGAACGAUGAUGACAAAGAUUCGUAAAAGGGUUCGUAAAAAAUAAACGAAGUCUCUUACUCGAGUGGAAUAAGUCACCUACACGGUUCAUUUUUUUAAUCUUUGACUUGUUAAUCAAGGUGAGAAUUUAAAACAUGUUGCCAGGUUUAAUAGGUUAUUUAGUAAACAAUCGUCCCAGAUUAAUAUCUUCAACUUAGUCAACAAGGUUUAAUGUUACACACUGAAUAAGGUAAACAAAUAGGAAAACAGGAAAAUUAGUUCUUGUUACAAAUCUCGAAUGUACCAACAGGUUUAAAUCAAGACAUUUUCUCCUUAUAACUAUAGUACGUUACUAGUCACGUCUAAUCCUAUCAAUAUCUCAAGAAGGAGUCGAAAGUAACUCGUUUCUAACUUAGACAUACUAAAAAAAGAUUAUGGUUCAUUUAGAACCAGACGUAAGACAAUCAAAAGGAUGACUCAAAAAAAAACCGAUAAAAGCAAAUUUAACCAUCGACUACACUUUUUCACACACAACUGUACGUACAUUGGUUUAGUACAUAAUUACACUCAAUGAUGUAUAUGAACGGAUAGAGAAAGGUCUUCGUGUUGGGAGAACUAGGUUGAUCCUUGUAGUUUUGGUUUACCCUUUAGUAACUCACCUGAAGUCUACCGGUACGACACUCAUGUGGUAAUCAUAGACUUAGAUGAAGCAUAUUAAUUCUGUGUGAAAGAUGUAUAGCGACGAUAUAACUAUGGUACACUAGUGAAUUGUACUCACACUGAUCGGAUAAAAGAACGGAUUGACACACUAACGUACAUCAUUACGUACCGAAGAGAUAAAUUUACUUCUCAACACAAAUAGUAUUAUUAAUAUAUGGUGUCUGAACAAAGAAAGACAAAUACAUUAUUACGUCAAGCAGAAGAUGGUAUACAAAAGAAACAAUGUACAGAAGAUUAACAAGUAGAAAAAAAGAGAAAGCUGCUGUUUUAUUGAAGCGCAAACCGCAUUGUUUUAUUGAAAAAAGAGAAACAAUGUACAGAAGA